GGGGCACUAUGUGGCAAGAGGACAGUACAUUCGAUCAUGGCAGUAAUUGCAUGAGCACUGCUGGCAGUAACUCAUGCUGUCAUAAUGGAAAGGAAGCAGCACCUAAUGCACUAUAAAACCACAUAUAGAGCCACGUUAUGAAGACACUUCCCAGCAAUCUCUGCUGAGGUCUUCAUGGUUACAUGCAGAUGGGGAUCCAGCUGCUGCGGGACGCUAGCUGAAUGAACAGUAAGGUUCAGAUGGGAAGCACCCUGAGGGAGUGUGUGGCCUCUUUUAAAUGCCAGAUGUGUCAUUCAGAGUCUGUGUGUCAUAUUGAUAACAAGGACACGCUCCAAGGCCUGCACUGGGUGACGACACAGAGAACAGCAAUGCUGAGGUCAGUGCCAGUGCAGAUGAAAUUUCAGGGCCAAAUAAACCAGCCUCUCCGUAUCAACACUAGAUUAUCACUACGAGGGAUCUGCUAAUCAAAAUAUGGUAUUUCCAGUCUUUGGCACAGCGCAUCACAGAUUUAAUAUUAGCAACUGUCAAACACAAACUGAUAAGGUCAUAGUUAUCAAAUUGUUUAUCAUGUUAUCGUGUUGCAGAUAUGGCUCAACAUAAAUUCUAAACAUUCAGUGAUUUAGUAAAUAAGAAAUGGUAAAAUAGCAACAUCUAACGGCACACAUUUUAUCAUCCAAUUAAAAUAAUUUGUUAGUGACAUACAGCAUAAAUAAACAAUAAAACAAAAAAUACUUCAUAAUUUAGUUAAGGAUUAAUAUUUUAACUUAACCUAUUAAUAAUUUAUUUUACACUAUUUUUAUAUAAUGGCUACAAACAAUACUAAUAUAUAUAUAAAAUACAUAUAUGUAUUUUAAUUUAAGAAUUUCUGUAUGUAAUUUGUUCACUUCAAUGCAUUAUGUUUUUAUCAGCAUUAUAUCCGCCACUAGCUCCACUAGCUAAGUGACAUAAACUUCUUAAUGCACACAAAGUGAGCAAGCUUUCAGCCUGCUUCCAUUAAAAAGCCAUUCUAAUCAAAAAAUGCAUUAUGCAUUAUAUAAUGCAUUAUGAAUUCACAACGCUUCACUCACAGUCAUUAUAGAGCUGCACAAUAACAUUCACAUAAUAUAUGCAUAUUUAAAUCUAUAAGACAGUACACAUAAGACAAUAAUUAAAGUAUAAAAGUUAAUAACAUGACAAAAAUAGUCGCCACAUACAAAUGUUUGU
rnacentral:lncRNA from 1 species